AAAACCUAAACUGAGAAUACAAGACAGAGAGAUUAAGGAU
rnacentral:guide_RNA from 1 species